rnacentral:rRNA from 1 species
CUCUUUUUGUUUAUAUAUAAAGUAUGACCUGCCCACUGGUUGAUUUGAAGGGCCGCGGUAACCUGACCGUGCAAAGGUAGCAUAAUCAUUAGUUUCUUAAUUAGAGGCUGGAAUGAAUGGUUGGACGAAAUAUUGGCUAUCUUGUUAUUUUUAUUAGAAUUUAAUUAUUAAGUAAAAAAGCUUAAAUAUUAUUAUGGGACGAUAAGACCCUAUAGAGUUUAAUAUUAUAAUUUUUAGAUUAGUUAUAUUUUGCAAUAUUAAUUAUAAUUUUUUGUUGGGGUGACAGGAAGAUAUAAAUAACUCUUUUUUAUUGAUAAAUAUUAAUUUAUAGAUUUUUGAUCCAUUAAUAAUGAUUAUAAGACUAAAUUACCUUAGGGAUAACAGCGUAAUCUUUUUUGAGAGUUCUUAUCAAUAAAAGGGGUUGCGA